rnacentral:rRNA from 1 species
UACGAAGGGUGCAAGCGUUAAUCGGAAUUACUGGGCGUAAAGGGUGCGUAGGCGGUUCGUUAAGUCUGUCGUGAAAUCCCCGGGCUCAACCUGGGAAUGGCGAUGGAUACUGGCGAGCUAGAGUGUGUCAGAGGAUGGUGGGAUUCCCGGUGUAGCGGUGAAAUGCGUAGAGAUCGGGAGGAACAUCAGUGGCGAAGGCGGCCAUCUGGGACAACACUGACGCUGAAGCACGAAAGCGUGGGGAGCAAACAGG